rnacentral:lncRNA from 1 species
CAGUAAAGGAAUUGAUAUUUAAAGUAUUUUUUUAUAUGUACUUCUCCAGGUAGUGAGUGACUUUACUAUUCUUUUAAAGAUAUGCAGUACAGUGCUGACUCUGAAAACUGGUCCUAGUUUUUUUGCAUAUUUUAUUGUAUAAACAGUUCAAAAGCACCGUUAGUAUAUACCUGUUCCUGGUUUCUAUCUCAGAGUCUUUGAUAGUGCUUUAGUCUUUGAGUGGGAAAAUUUCCCCAGGGGAUUGGAAAUACAUUCUUAUGAUGGCUUCUUGAUCUUUUAUUGUAUCCUCAAGCAAAGACCAAAAAGAAGAUUGAAUAGAAAAUAGAGCCUACCAGAAAGAGUACUUCACUUCAUUGAUAAUGUAACAUGUUAGACAGAAUUGAAUAGGACCUAUGACUCACAUCUACCUGACUGGUUAGAAGCUGGAGAGUCCAAGAUCAAUGUGUCGGCACAUUUCGUUCUUGCCCCCCAGUACAUAGUUGUGUAUUCUUAGUUGUGGGUCCUUCUAGUUGCGGCAUGUGGGAUGCUGCCUCAGCAUGGCUUGACGAGUGUUGCCAUGUCCACGCCUAGGAUUCGAACCAGCGAAACACUGGGCAGCUGCAGCGGAGCACAUGAACUUAACCACUCGGCCAUGGGGCCAGCCCCAAGCCUAAUUGCUUUUAAUACAUCUCUUUUUACAAGGUAAAGAACAGAUGUUUUGUAAUUUUCCAAGGGCCGUUUGGAGAACUCUAAAGUCAGUUUGAGAUCAAGAAAAUUUCAUACAGAAAUCUAUUUUAGGAAGGUAAAAUAUCC